GUGUGGCUGAGAGAGAGGGUGGCUGAGACUGCCAGAGACAGGAGACCCUGUAGUAAGCUGGGAAAGCUCAAGAAAUGGGAGACUGAGUGGAUCUGCGGUAGGUGGAAGAAGCAGCUAUGGGAAAGAAGUUUGGUUCCUGGAGAGCCCUAGCUAGAUAAAGCCUGUGACUGGGAGUUAAAGAAGGGAAGAUGAGCUGAAAAAUGUUUGUUUGGAUUUCUGUUUUUUGGUGAUUUUUUUUUGACAGGAAGAGAAGAAUUGCUGAAGAGUGAAUUAAAAGGAUUGAACUCAGAAGGUCACUGGAGACUGAGUUCUUGGAGUAUCUUGAAUGAAGGGGAAAUAGAGGUGGGAUGGCUACAGAGGCAACCGUAACCACUGGGGGCACUCAGGCUGCAGUAAUCAGUCACCAUGCUCUAAGGGUGCUGCUUACUCCGGAAGUUUCCACACUGUUGGUAUAUCAGCUGUUGCUGUCAUAACUUCUGGUAGGGAAAUGCCACUCCUGAAUACCCCGACAGCACCUCUGAUUACUCAUAGGAGAUACGAGGAAAUGUGGACUUUGAAGUGUCUUCCCCACCUUGCUCCCAUCACUGGCCACAAAAGCAGUGCAUGAGGACAGGAGGCAGGGCAAUCUGUUGCUGCAUUGGGUGGAAGUAUUGCAGCUCACCUCUUCCUCCCUUGCCAUCAGUGUCCACCUGAUGUGUCCCUGCUUGGAAUUUGAAGAUCCUAUACCGGGAGGGAACCUGACUGCUGAUCCUUUUCUCCUACGUGUCAAUGAAGUCCUGCUCUUUUGAUAUCUAGGGGUUGCCUGUUUCCCUACUUUACUCCUGUCCCUACCAACAAGAUGAGACGUCCUUAUCCAUCUAUUCUCCAAAUCCCUCACCUGGUCUUUCUAUGCUAGCCAGGGACCACCCACCCAGAUCAAGAACAAAAAGGAUCCAUCCCCCAACUGGCUCUCCAGCUCAACACUUAAAGGGACCUGCAUCCCAUGCAGCCAAUCAUCCACAGCCAGAUGCCCCGAGAAGUUUAUUUGCUGCUGCCAGUACUGACCCUAGGACAUGCAGCUACCAGGGCCUGCUAUUUUUUCAACCAGCUGAAGUCUGGUCAGUUGAGCUGCAGUCACUGAAUGGGCAUAUGAUGAUUAAACCUCUCAAGAUAAAAGCUGACCCACCUAGGCCAUGUCUACGCUAGCGAGCUUACAGCGGCACAGCUGUACUGAUCCAGCUGCACCACUGUCAGAGCUCUCAUACGGUCACUCUGUGCCAACGGGAGAGAGUGCUCCCAUCGACAUAAUUAAACCACCCCCAACGAGUGGUAUCAGCAGGAGAAGUUCCACCACUGACAUAGCGCUGUGCAGACUACCACUUACACCGAUGGAACUGAUGUCGCUCAGGGGGUGGAAUAUACACUUCUGUGAGCAACGUACGUUUUGCCAACAUAAGUGAUAAUGUAGACAUGGCCUUAGUCCCUCUAAGAAAUGUGAAGGGUGGCACCACCUACCCAGAACUCCAUGCUUGCUUUAUGGUGUGGAUGAAAGAAAAUGGGAGAGAGAAGUCAUCUUGCGUAGAUGCUAUUUAUUGGUAGCAGCACUUUGGGUCACUACAUAAAAACACUGAUUCAAAUCGAGCCAGAGAGAGACUUGAUUUAAAGGUUUAAUCUUGUAGAGCCAGCAUCCUUUUGAACAGAUCCACGUUCGUGGUAUCUCCUCCAAAGCAUCAGCACUAGAGUUAGUCAACACAAAAAAGUUACAGGUCUGAGUGGGCUUAAAAGU